rnacentral:rRNA from 1 species
GACGAACGCUGGCGGCGCGCUUAACACAUGCAAGUCGAACGGAAAGGCCCUUCGGGGUCCUCGAGUGGCGAACGGGUGAGUAACACGUGGGUGAUCUGCCCUGCACUUUGGGAUAAGCCUGGGAAGCUGGGUCUAAUACCGAAUAGGACCACGCGCUUCAUGGUGUGUGGUGGAAAGCUUUUGCGGUGUGGGAUGGGCCCGCGGCCUAUCAGCUUGUUGGUGGGGUAAUGGCCUACCAAGGCGACGACGGGUAGCCGGCCUGAGAGGGUGACCGGCCACACUGGGACUGAGAUACGGCCCAGACUCCUACGGGAGGCAGCAGUGGGGAAUAUUGCACAAUGGGCGCAAGCCUGAUGCAGCGACGCCGCGUGAGGGAUGACGGCCUUCGGGUUGUAAACCUCUUUCAAUAGGGACGAAGCGCAAGUGACGGUACCUAUAGAAGAAGCACCGGCCAACUACGUG